rnacentral:tmRNA from 1 species
GGGGACGAACUAGGAUUCGACGAGAAGUACGUUAACAAACUGGCAAGCCGAGGUUGCUCUCGCUCGUAAAAAAGGGCAAAAACAAUAAGCGACGAAAAAACCGCUUAUACUCCAAGCAGGAGCUAUGCUAACGCUGGCUUCGCUUACGCUUUCGCGUAAACUUGGUGUCCGCCUAGGUGAAUCUCAGCCGCCUGGUGUCGGGCAUAAACCCGUCUGAGAUGCCCCCCGCGUAUUUGGUUUGGGUGUGCGGGGUUAAGAUUACUAAACCUAGCUUUAAGUUGUACAUGCUGAUAUGAAGACUUUAGGCAAAAAAAAUAAAAAUCAGCUAAGCUUGUAGUCAGUUAGUAAACAGCUUUUACGGACGCGGGUUCGACUCCCGCCGUCUCCACAC